CAAUCAAAAGAUUGAUUUGAAAAAAAAUUAAGCAAAAAAAAAUUUAAACUUAAAAACUUUAUAAAAAGCAGUGUAAAGAAAGAUAUUAGAUGAAGAUCUCCAAGCUAAUUAAAAUCAUUAGAAUUAAUUAAACUUAAGAAAAUCACUCUACGAACCAUUGAUACAUAAUCGCGUCGCUCUACGAAACCAUGAUAUAUAAUCGCGUCGUCAUUGCAAAUAUUACUACUUGCUGCAUAGGAUUUGUUCUAAAUGGUUUUGGAUUGUUCGUUUUACUAAAGUUUAAAAAGGGUCAUAGCUUAACACAGCGGUACAUACUAAUCCAACUUUGUUUCUUCGAUUUAUGCUUAAGCCUAGUAAAUGGAUUUUAUAGUUUAAACGUAGAACACACUAUUUUAAGUUUGCUUGAAAUAACUUUUAAUACAGGAUUUUAUUUUGCAACAUUUUGGUUGGUAUGUGAUAGAUAUUUACAUUUAAAAUUGAAUAUGAAAUACGUCAUCUUCUGGUCCAAGAAAAAAACAAUAAUUUCAACUAUGGUUGUAUGGGUUAUAUCUAUAUUGUGUUCAGUUUUGUCUUUUUAUAAAAUUUUGCGAAACAUAA